GAAACUCUUCUCCUCAGUCCUCACUCUCACUGGAACUCACCGGUCGUUGCUGGCUAAGUCUUGUUUACAACUCGCCGGUCGCUGCUGCUGCCAGUAGCACUGUUCAAAUAUAGUCUGGGACUCUCUUAAUAGAUGGAAUCUUCAACCGGAAUAAAGGUGGAGAUGAUUGUCAACAAUCAUCCGGCUAUGCCGGUAGUACCUCAAAAGAAAGGUAAAAGCGCUCCUUAUACAGUCCCUCCUCUCAAAAAGCAAAAAAGAACUGGUAAUACUGGAAGAGAAACGUCUGAAAUUUGGGAUCACUUCACCAAAUUUAUUGAUAAAGGAGAUAAACAUAGAGCAAAAUGCAAUUAUUGCAUAAAACACUUUGCUUCUGAUACCACAACUAAUGGAACUUCUGCAUUAUGGAAACAUUUACUUGAGAAGUGUCUUAAAUCUCCCUUUAGAUUUAUUAACAGGAAGCAAACAACAUCGAAACUUACGCCUACCAAAGAAGAGGGACAAGAAACUGAUACAAGUUCUAUUGAAAGGGUGGUGUGUAAUGUGGAGGAUAUUAGGAGGGCAAUUGCCGAAUUUGUUAUAAUUGAUGGGCAAUCACUUAAAGUUGUUGAGGGGGAAGGAUUUAAGAAAUUAAUAGCUAAAGUCUUGCCUAGCUUUGAAUUACCUUGUCAUGUAACUGUUGCUAGACAUUGUUUGAAGAUUUAUCAAGAGGAGAAAGAAAAGCUUAAAAAACUUGUCAAGAACCAACGUGUAUGUCUUACUAGUGAUACAUGGACAUCACUCCAUAACUUGGCUUAUAUGGAUGUAACUGCCUAUUGGAUUGAUGAUGAUUGGAAUUUACAAAAGAAGAUUCUUAACUUUUUCCAAAACACCGGAUCACAAGGGUGAGACUAUUGCUAAGGGUAUUGAGGCAUGCUUGUUAGAUUGGGGGAUUGAGAACUUGUUUACAGUGACCCUGCAUAAUGCAAGUGCAAACGAUGCUGCCAUUAAGCAUUUGAAAGCAUAUAUUGAUGAUUGGAAAGGGGUGAUAUUGGGAAAUGAGUUUUUACAUGUUAGAUGUAAUGCUCGUAUUUUGAACUUUAUCGUAAAAGAUGAGUUAGAUGAACAAAUUGAGCCCAUUUCUCGUAUAAGGAAUGCAGUGAAAUAUGUCAAGUCUUCGCCUUCAAGGUUUGCUUCAUUCAAGUUAUCUGUUGAGAAAGUUAAGAUAGAUACUCAUGGUCUUUUGAGUCUUGAUGUUGAAAAUAGGUGGAACUCGACGUAUACUAUGUUAGAUACAGCUUUGAGGUUUGAAAAGGCAUUUACAAGAAUGCACAUGGAUGACUAUAUGUACCAACAAUAUUUUCGAGAGAGGAGUGGAAUAAGAGGACAUCCAUCUGUAGAUGAUUGGAAGACUGUGAAAGUUCUUAUCAAGUUCCUUAAUAUUUUCCACCAGACCACUUUGAAGUUUUCAGGAAGCUUAUAUGCCACUUCGAAUUCUUUCUUGCAUGAAUUUUUAAUGUUCGAAAUGCUAUUAUUAAGUAUUCUCAUAGUGAAGAUCUUAUUUUGAUUGAUAUGGCUAAAAGGAUGAAAAGUAGGUUUGAUAAAUAUUGGGGUAACUUUGAGAAUUUGAACAUGCUAUUGGUCAUUGCCGUUGUGUUGGAUCCGAGAUAUAAGAUGAAGUAUGUGAACUUCAUUCUUAGCAAAUCAUAUGAUUCUUUGUCGGGAAGAUUGAAAUUGGAUCAGGUGGCAGGUGUUUUGACUCGAUUAUAUGAUCGCUACAACGAUUCAUUGUCGGAAGCUUCUAAUGAUGAUAUUGGGGUUGAUACUAGCAUGAUGAGUGAAGCUGGUGAUACAUUGCAAUCUCAAUGUGAGAAACAUUUGGAAGAAGAGGGAAAUAUUGAAAAAAAAUCUGAGCUUGAGAAAUACUUGAUGGAUAAUGUAGAGAAGACCAAGGAUUUAAAUAUCUUGGCUUGGUGGAAAGCUUCAUCUAAUAGAUAUCCAAUUGUUUCAAAAAUGGCAAGGGAUAUUCUUUCUAUUCCUAUUUCUACCAUUACAUCUGAGUCAACUUUCAAUACUAGUGGUCAAAUUCUUGAUUCUUAUUGGAGCUCUUUACCACCAAAGACGGCAGAAGCUUUUAUUUGCACUCAACAAUGGAUACGGUCACCUUCCGAAGAAUGCAAGUUUUAGGACCUUUUAGAGGAAGUUCAGAAAAUUGAGCAAGUUGAAGAAGAAUAUCCAGGAGCGCCUUUGAGUAUUGAUUAGUUCGGACGAACCUGGUGUUUAUUUCUGACUCUUGUCACCUAGAACUCUUGGCUAGUUAGAUGGGAUGUAGUUUUUGGGUUACCGAGUCUAUGAAUCAGCGUUCAUUUUAUUUUGGUUGAACAUCAAAAUUGCUGGACUAAGCUGCGAGAACUCUGUAUGAAUUCUCUUCUUUUGUUUUGUGCUCAUUUUGGCUGCAGCCUUCAAUCUGGUAAAUUUAGCAGAUUGAACUUGGAUGUUUCAAUGGAAGUCUUUUGUACUCAUGUAAGUUUCAGUCUUUGCUUGAGAUUAUUU